rnacentral:tRNA from 1 species
GUGGUGGCUCAGUGGUAGAGCACUUACCUAGCACACAUGAGGCACUGGGUUCAAUCCUCAGCACCACA